rnacentral:lncRNA from 1 species
GGCAUUUGAGGCAGAUUCUACAGAGGAUAGUGGCCCGAGAGAGAUGGCGACCAGUGGAGGCUCUUCAUCAUAGUGGACAGUCCCAUGGAUUAGUUUUGUAUACUUUUUGAGGGUGGGUGUAUCUAGGACUGACUGUUAGGUUUACUCUUUUGUUUUUGUAUGGGUAGACCUGAUGUAUAGGAAUUUGAUGAUUGUAUACAUGUGCCUGAAGCCACCACUAUGGACACCUUUGCUCUGGAUGACACUAGGUAUUUUGUAAAACUCCCAUAUUUUGG